UUGACACACAUUAGGAAGGAAGACGGGAAGGAUUGACAGACAUAAGAAAGGAAGAAAGAAAGGGUUGACAGACAUAAGAAAGGAAGGGUUGACAGACAUUAAGAAGGAAGAUAGGAAGGGUUGACAGACAUCAGGAAGGAAGAUAGGAAGGAUUGACAGACAUAAGAAAGACAGAAACGGUUCACAGACAGGAAGGAAGGAAGACUGGAAGAUUGACAGACAUUAAGAAGAAAGACAGGUAGGCUUGACAGACAUUAAGCAGGGAGAUAGGAAGGGUUGACAUAAGAAAAGAAGAAAGGAAGGGUUGACAGACAUUAAGAAGGAAGAUAGGAGGUGUUGACACACAUUAGGAAGGAAGACGGGAAGGAUUGACAGACAUAAGAAAGGAAGAAAGAAAGGGUUGACAGACAUAAGAAAGGAAGGGUUGACAGACAUUAAGAAGGAAGAUAGGAAGGGUUGACAGACAUCAGGAAGGAAGAUAGGAAGGAUUGACAGACAUAAGAAAGACAGAAACGGUUCACAGACAGGAAGGAAGGAAGACUGGAAGAUUGACAGACAUUAAGAAGAAAGACAGGUAGGCUUGACAGACAUUAAAUAGGGAGAUAGGAAGGGUUGACAUAAGAAAAGAAGAAAGGAAGGGUUGACAGACAUUAAGAAGGAAGAUAGGAAGGGUUGACACACAUAAGAAAGGAAGACAGGAAGGGUUGACACACAUAAGAAAGGAAGACAGGAAGGGUUUACAGACAUAAGAAAGGAAGACAGGAAGGUUUCACAGACAUUAAGAAGGAAGAUAGGAAGAGUUGACAGACAUUAGGAAGGAAGACGGGAAGGGUUAACCGACAUUAAGAAGGAAGACGGGAAGGGUUAACAAACAUAAGAAAGGAAGAAAAAAAGGGUUGACAGACAUUAAGAAGGAAGACAGGAAGGGUUGACAGACAUAAGAAAGGAAGACAGGAAGAGAUGACAGACAUAAGAAACGAAGACGGGAAGGAUUGACAGACAUAAGAAAGGAAGACAGGAAGGAUUGACAGACAUAAGAAAGGAAGGGUUGACAGACAUUAAGAAGGAAGACAGGAAGGGUUGACAGACAUAAGAAAGGAAGACAGGAAGGGUUGACAGACAUAAGAAAGGAAGACAGGAAAGGUUUGCGGACAUAAGAAUGGAAGACAGGAAGGGUUGACAGACAUUAAGAAGGAAGAUAGGAAGGGUUGACAGACAUCAGGAAGGAAGAUAGGAAGGGUUGACAGACAUAAGAAAGACAGAAACGGUUCACAGACAGGAAGGAAGGAAGACUGGAAGAUUGACAGACAUUAAGAAGAAAGACAGGUAGGCUUGACAGACAUUAAGCAGGGAGAUAGGAAUGGUUGACAUAAGAAAAGAAGAAAGGAAGGGUUGACAGACAUUAAGAAGGAAGAUAGGAAGGGUUGACACACAUAAGAAAUGAAGACAGGAAGGGUUGACACACAUAAGAAAGGAAGACAGGAAGGGUUUACAGACAUAAGAAAGGAAGACAGGAAGGUUUCACAGACAUUAAGAAGGAAGAUAGGAAGAGUCGACAGACAUUAGGAAGGAAGACGGGAAGGGUUGACAGACAUAAGAAAGGAAGACAGGAAAGGUUUGCAGACAUAAGAAAGGAAGACAGGAAGGGUUGACAGACAUAAGAAAGGAAGACAGGAAAGGUUUGCAGACAUAAGAAUGGAAGACAGGAAGGGUUGACAGACAUUAAGAAGGAAGAUAGGAGGUGUUGACACACAUUAGGAAGGAAGACGGGAAGGAUUGACAGACAUAAGAAAGGAAGAAAGAAAGGGUUGACAGACAUAAGAAAGGAAGGGUUGACAGACAUUAAGAAGGAAGAUAGGAAGGGUUGACAGACAUCAGGAAGGAAGAUAGGAAGGGUUGACAGACAUAAGAAAGGAAGACAGGAAGGGUUGACAGACAUAAGAAAGGCAGACAGGAAGGGUUGACAGACAUAAGAAAGGAAGACAGGAAGGGUUGACAGACAUAAGAAAAGAAUACAGGAAGGGUUGACAGACAUUAAGAAGGAAGAUAGGAAGAGUUGACAGAUAUAAUAAAGGAAGAAAGAAAGGGUUGACAGACAUAAGAAAGGAAGACAGGAUGGGUUGACAGACAUAAGAAAGGAAGACGGGACAGGUUGACAGACAUAAGAAAGGAAGAAAGAAAGGGUUGACAGACAUUAAGAAGGAAGAUAGGAAGAGUUGACAGACAUUAAGAAGGAAGAUAGGAAGAGUUGACAGACAUUAAGAAGAAAGAUAGGAAGAGUUGACACACAUUAGGAAGGAAGACAGGAAGGGCUGACAAACAUUAAGAAGGAAGACGGGAAGGGUUGACAGACAUAAGAAAGGAAGAAAGAAAGAAAGAAAGGUUUGAUAGACAUAAGAAAAGAAGGGUUGACAGACAUAAGAAAGGAAGACAGGAAGAGAUGACAGACAUAAGAAAUGAAGACGGGAAGGAUUGACAGACAUAAGAAAGGAAGACAGGAAGGAUUGACAGACAUAAGAAAGGAAGGGUUGACAGACAUUAAGAAGGAAGAUAGGAAGAGUUGACAGACAUUAAGAAGGAAGAUAGGAAGAGUUGACAGACAUUAAGAAGGAAGAUAGGAAGAGUUGACAGACAUAAGAAAGGAAGAUAGGAAAGGUUGACAGACAUUAAGAAGGAAGAUAGAAAGGGUUGACAGACAUUAAGCAGGGAGAUGGGAAGGGUUGACAGACAUCAGGAAGGAAGAUAGGAAGGGUUGACAGACAUAAGAAAGGAAGACAGGAAGGGUUGACAGACAUAAGAAAGGAAGACAGGAAGGGUUGACAGACAUAAGAAAGGAAGACAGGAAGGGUUGACAGACAUAAGAAAAGAAUACAGGAAGGGUUGACAGACAUUAAGAAGGAAGAUAGGAAGAGUUGACAGAUAUAAUAAAGGAAGAUAGAAAGGGUUGACAGACAUAAGAAAGGAAGAAAGGAAGGGUUGACAGACAUAAGAAAGGAUGACAGGAAGGGUUGACAGACAUAAGAAAGGAAGACAGGAAGGGUUGACAGACAUAAGAAAGGAAGACGGGAAGGGUUGACAGACAUAAGAAAGGAAGAAAGAAAGGGUUGACAGACAUAAGAAAGGAAGACAGGAAGUGUUGACAGACAUAAGAAAGGAAGACGGGACGGGUUGACAGACAUAAGAAAGGAAGAAAGAAAGGGUUGACAGACAUUAAGAAGGAAGAUAGGAAGAGAUGACAGACAUUAGGAAGGAAGAUAGGAAGAGUUGACAGACAUUAGGAAGGAAGAUAGGAAGAGUUGACAGAUAUAAUAAAGGAAGAAAGAAAGGGUUGACAGACAUAAGAAAGAAAGGGUUGACAGACAUAAGAAAGGAAGGGUUGACAAACAUAAGAAAGGAAGGGUUGACAGACAUAAGAAAGGAAGACAGGAAGGGUUGACAGACAUAAGAAAGGAAGACGGGACGGGUUGACAGACAUAAGAAAGGAAGAAAGAAAGGGUUGACAGACAUUAAGAAGGAAGAUAGGAAGGGUUGACAGACAUUAAGAAGGAAGAUAGGAAGAGUUGACAGACAUUAGGAAGGAAGAUAGGAAGAGUUGACAGAUAUAAUAAAGGAAGAAAGAAAGGGUUGACAGACAUAAGAAAGGAAGAGUUGACAAACAUAAGAAAGGAAGGGUUGACAGACAUAAGAAAGGAAGACAGAAAGGGUUGACAGACAUAAGAAAGGAAGACAGGAAGGGUUGACAGACAUAAGAAAGGAAGACGGGAAGGGUCGACAGACAUAAGAAAGGAAGAAAGAAAGGGUUGACAGACAUAAGAAAGGAAGGGUUGACAGACAUUAAGAAGGAAGAUAGAAAGGGUUGACAGACAUUAAGCAGGGAGAUGGGAAGGGUUGACAGACAUCAGGAAGGAAGAUAGGAAGGGUUGACAGACAUAAGAAAGGAAGACAGGAAGGGUUGACAGACAUAAGAAAAGAAGGGUUGACAGACAUUAAGAAGGAAGAUAUGAAGGGUUGACAGACAUUAAGAAGGAAGAUAGGAAGGGUUGACAGACAUUAAGAAGGAAGACGGGAAGGGUUGACAGACAUAAGAAAGGAAGAAAGAAAGAAAGAAAGGGUUGACAGAUAUAAGAAAAGAAGGGUUGACAGACAUUAAGAAGGAAGAUAGGAAAGGUUGACAGACAUUAAGAAGGAAGAUAGAAAGGGUUGACAGACAUUAAGCAGGGAGAUGGGAAGGGUUGACAGACAUAAGAAAUGAAGACAGGAAGGGUUGACAGACA